rnacentral:rRNA from 1 species
UGGGGAAUAUUGGACAAUGGGCGAAAGCCUGAUCCAGCCAUGCCGCGUGUGUGAAGAAGGUCUUCGGAUUGUAAAGCACUUUAAGUUGGGAGGAAGGGCAGUAAGCGAAUACCUUGCUGUUUUGACGUUACCGACAGAAUAAGCACCGGCUAACUCUGUGCCAGCAGCCGCGGUAAUACAGAGGGUGCAAGCGUUAAUCGGAAUUACUGGGCGUAAAGCGCGCGUAGGUGGUUCGUUAAGUUGAAUGUGAAAGCCCCGGGCUCAACCUGGGAACUGCAUCCAAAACUGGCUAGCUAGAGUAGGGCAGAGGGUGGUGGAAUUUCCUGUGUAGCGGUGAAAUGCGUAGAUAUAGGAAGGAACACCAGUGGCGAAGGCGACCACCUGGGCUCAUACUGACACUGAGGUGCGAAAGCGUGGGGAGCAAACAGG